ensembl:lncRNA
AAUGCAUUCUUAGAAAUUAUACAUUACUCAUGAAAAACAUGAUGUGCCUUUGUGUUGUAAUUUAAUGGAAAAAUGAAUUACAACAACAUACAUAGACAAAUAUUGCAAGGUUACAUUCAUAGGAAAUUAUAAAGAACAUCAUAAUAGUAGUUCAGAAACUAAGCAAAAUGUACAAUAUAAUCACAUAAAGGAAAUGUGUGUUUGUGGAACCAGUUUAGUGAGCCCAACUUCCAUGGACUGAUGGAUCUUGGCCAGUGAUCAGUUACAACGUUUCUCUGAGGAGCCCUGCGUGAAUAACAAACAGAUGAAUAUAACAUGAAUAACAAACAGAUGAAUAUAACAUAAAUAACAAACAGAUGAAUAUAACAUGAAUAACAAACAGAUGAAUAUAACAUGAAUAACAAACAGAUGAAUAUAACAUGAAUAACACAGACAGAUGAAUAUAACAUGAAUAACAAGGACAGAUGAAUAUAACAUGAAUAACAAACAGAUUAAUAUAACAUGAAUAAC